UCUUAUCAUACUUGUAACUUUUACAUAAUACAUAUUCACCAUCUCAUGAAUUUUAUAGAAAGAAUUGCUGGAUCAAAACGGUACAAAAUCCCUGGACAAGGAGCUUAAUGAAGAAAAUGUAAACAACGCUAAACAGAUAUUUGUGCCCGUAAAUGCAGAAAGAGUGCACUGGAUAUUGGUUGUAAUGGACUUUGAUAAACACAAAGUGCAAAUCCUAGACUCCUUUGCUUCAGAGACUUAUCUUGUCCCUGCUUAUAAAGUGGCAUCACAGCU